rnacentral:rRNA from 1 species
CCGGGGGCGGCGGGCCCCCCGCGGGCGCCCCCCCGGGGGGGGGGGGUAAAAAACCCCUUUAUAUCAACACCUUUUCCUCUUUUUUUUGGGAAAGGAAAAGGCCCCAGGGAAAAAAUUUGGGAUUUAAAUACUUUUUAUAAACCCCCCCAAAGAUUCGCCAUGUUUUUCAUGGUUUAAAGGGUAUCCGUUAAGAGAAGGGGCAUGGGUUCCUAUUAGUUUGUUGGGUGAGUAAAUGCCUCACCAAAGCCUUCGAUAGGUAGGGGGUUUUGAGAAGAUUUUUCCCCCACACUGUAAUUGAGACACCGACCAGACUCUUACGGGAAGCAGCAGUGAGGAAUAUUGCGCAAUGGACGAAAGUCUGACGCAGCCAUGCCGCGUGAAGGAUGACGGCGCUACGCGUUGUAACUUUCUUUUAUAUACCAAGAAACCUUCGGACGUGUCCGAAGCUGACGGUAGUAUAUGAAUAAGCACCGGCUAACUCCGUGCCAGCAGCGCGGGUAAUACGGAGGGUGCAAGCGUUAUCCGGAUUUAUUGGGUUUAAAGGGUCCGUAGGCGGAUCAUUAAGUCAGUGGUGAAAGCCGACAGCUCAACUGUCGAACUGCCAUUGAUACUGGUGAUCUUGAGUACGGUUGAAGUAGGCGGAAUAUGACAUGUAGCGGUGAAAUGCUUAGAUACGUCAUAGAACACCGAUUGCGAAGGCAGCCUACUAAGCCGUUACUGACGCUGAGGGACGAAAGUGUGGGGAGCGAACAGGAUUAGAUACCCUGGUAGUCCACACCGUAAACGAUGAUUACUCGGUAUUGGCUUUAUUGUCAGUGCCCAAGCGAAAGUGAUAAGUAAUCCACCUGGGGAGUACGGCCGCAAGGUUGAAACUCAAAGGAAUUGACGGGGGCCCGCACAAGCGGUGGAGCAUGUGGUUUAAUUCGAUGAUACGCGAGGAACCUUACCAGGGCUUAAAUGUAGAACGACCGGGGUGGAAACACCCCCUUUUUCGAACGGUCUACAAGGUGCUGCAUGGUUGUCGUCAGCUCGUGCUGUGAAGUGUCGGGUUAAGUCCCAUAACGAGCGCAACCCCUAUUUCUAGUUGCCAGCGGUUCGGCCGGGGACUCUAGAGAAACUGCCAGCGUAAGCUGUGAGGAAGGUGGGGACGACGUCAAAUCAUCACGGCCCUUACGUCCUGGGCCACACACGUGCUACAAUGGUGGGGACAACGAGUUGCCAACCCGCAAGGGUGAGCUAAUCUCUCAAACCCCAUCUCAGUUCGGAUCGGAGUCUGCAACUCGACUCCGUGAAGUUGGAAUCGCUAGUAAUCGCGCAUCAGCCAUGCGUCGUGAAUUCCGCCC